rnacentral:rRNA from 1 species
AGUCGUACGCUUCUUUUUCCACCGGAGCUUGCUCCACCGGAAAAAGAAGAGUGGCGAACGGGUGAGUAACACGUGGGUAACCUGCCCAUCAGAAGGGGAUAACACUUGGAAACAGGUGCUAAUACCGUAUAACAAUCGAAACCGCAUGGUUUUGAUUUGAAAGGCGCUUUCGGGUGUCGCUGAUGGAUGGACCCGCGGUGCAUUAGCUAGUUGGUGAGGUAACGGCUCACCAAGGCCACGAUGCAUAGCCGACCUGAGAGGGUGAUCGGCCACAUUGGGACUGAGACACGGCCCAAACUCCUACGGGAGGCAGCAGUAGGGAAUCUUCGGCAAUGGACGAAAGUCUGACCGAGCAACGCCGCGUGAGUGAAGAAGGUUUUCGGAUCGUAAAACUCUGUUGUUAGAGAAGAACAAGGAUGAGAGUAACUGUUCAUCCCUUGACGGUAUCUAACCAGAAAGCCACGGCUAACUACGUGCCAGCAGCCGCGGUAAUACGUAGGUGGCAAGCGUUGUCCGGAUUUAUUGGGCGUAAAGCGAGCGCAGGCGGUUUCUUAAGUCUGAUGUGAAAGCCCCCGGCUCAACCGGGGAGGGUCAUUGGAAACUGGGAGACUUGAGUGCAGAAGAGGAGAGUGGAAUUCCAUGUGUAGCGGUGAAAUGCGUAGAUAUAUGGAGGAACACCAGUGGCGAA